UGUGUUACUCCCACUUCCAAACCACCCUGCCUGCGGCGGCCUGCCACCCACCUGGAGCAAUCAGGAGAGAAGAGCCACCAGCCAUGUCACUCUUCUAGGGAGCAGCACACCUUUGGACACAGAAGCAACCUGAGGGACAUCAGCCCUGAAACAACAAAGCCACCAGAGAGCCCCAGAUCAAAGGAGACAGAAUCUCUCUGGCUGCUACAGGGAGCCACAUGGUUCAUGAAUGAGUUUCUUCAUGAUGAGCUUUUUCUUCUUCCUGCCUUACAUCCGAAUGCAAACCUGGGCAGUGAAAUUUCAGCAGACUAUCAAGGGCAGCCCUCUGGGUUCCUGCACUCAGGUCCCUCUGCAGAGCUUCAGAAAUCUUGGAGAGCUGUGUGUCAGGAAAAAGCCUUACACCUGAACCUUGUCACCCAAGCCAUGAGGAGACUGCAGGGCUUUCCCAGCCCACACACACCAACCAGGCUGCAAGAUACACUGUGCCUCAGCUCUGAAGAAAACCUGGAUAACAAAGUGCAUCACAUCUGAGAACAUAUGAUAUGGAUUAGCACAGAAAAAGGAAGCAAGAUGAAGAAAGAGAUGGUUUGGUCUGAUCAAUAAACCACACAAUUACCAGGCUUCCCCAGGAAACACCAGCUCUGAGGCUUCUUCAGCCAGCUGCUCCAGCCACAGCUCUGGACUUUGGAUUAGCUGGAAAGAUCCUGCUCUGGACAGACUUUAAUAUGCUCAGUCUGGGACCUCAGUGGGGUUCCAGUGCUCCCCCACCUUCCCUGCAGCAUCCCUGGGAGCUCCAAAACUCCCAGUUUCCAUCAGAAAUGCAGCAGCUGGCCACACAGCUCUUAUUUCCAGCCAAAGACUCUUCUUUUUAAGCAAAACUGGAAACAGUACCUCCCAGCAGCUCCACUGCUGGUUAGUGCCUCUGCUGCAUCAAUCACAGAGACCUCUACAGAAGAUACAGUUUGCAAGAAUGUUUCUUAUAACGCUGCUUGGCUUUUCCAACACUAAUUUUUCAGAUACUUUGUAAAAUGAGAAGAAACUUCAGGAGAUAGAGAUGAAGAAGAGACACUGGUGUGCCAAGGACCUGGUACCAGCACCAGUAAGACACACACUAGGUCACCUUGCCUCUGCACACACCAGGCCUGAGCAGUCCUGCUCAAGAUACCACCACGACAUCACUGCUUGCCAGUCUGUCACCAUGAAAUCACCACUUCAUCAUCUGCUCAGGCUACACACUGCAGCCUUUUUCCUCUCCAUCUAAACCCAGGGAAGCAUAAAACCCUGAAACCCCUCUUUAUCCAUGGACAUAGCAAGUGAAAACUCUCAUGACAGGGAGGAACUGCCAUUUUGCUACAUUCUUAAGCUGUCAGCCUGGGCUCACUUGCCAUCUUGCCAACUCCUCCAAGCUCUCAGCUCCUGCCUCCCAGGCAUUAGUACCUUUAUCAAGUGAGGCUCCAGCCAUGUGGUAGAAGCUCAAAGCUGUGUCCACAUCAUUUAUGUUCUUCAGAAAAGUGAAGAAGUUCUCCACCUCCUCAAAUGUCAGCCCCUAGAACAGAGAAAAAAAAACAAACCAGGGUCUUAUGAUGGGAAGAGGAGAUGUGACAAUACCUGGAUUACAUGGACAAAGUGAUUCAUCAGCCCAAAGCUGUAGCCAGAAGGGAAAUUCAUCUGCAUGCUCAACACAUGCCCACCUUGGCACCUGAGGAUAUAGUUCCCAACCUGUACUUUUGUGAACUGCCUCUGCUCCCCUCCCAGCCCCAUGGGAAGGGACUUCUCCAUGCAUGCUCAGCAGUGGCAGAGACCUAGGAGCAUUUCUCUGGCCAUCACUCCACAGCCAGCUCUGGCCCAGAAGAGAGGACACACCAAGACCUGUGGUUGGGAUGAAGGAGCCCAUCACAAGCAGUUCUGUUUAUACAAGUGUUGUAAGCCUGCACACUUGCCAUGACCAUGACAUAGUUCAUGUGCUGCAAGAUCUUUCCCAAGAGAUUCAGGGAUUCCUAAGGGGAUGCACGUCUUUCCUGGUGGCACAGAGGGUGACACUGCAAACCAUGGCAUGCAUGGAUGUGCCCCUUAGCUUUGCUGGAGGUGGCAGGAUGGCUGCAGGGCUGGAUCAUGUCUGCUCUGCUCACAGCACAGUCACUGGCACACAAGAGCUGAGUGACAGCCUACAGUCAUCCCCCCAGAUGGUCUUGGAAGAGCAUCCUGGGGCCCCCAGUGCUGGCACCACUGCAUCCCAGCUCAGCCAACAGGCAGGCACGGGAUAGGCAACCUGCUCCUCUCCACACCCGUCCAACCAGCCAGAAGAACAUCAGGAGAGCAACUGAUAAGCACAGCUCUGAGACCUCCAGCCAGUCACACCACACCAUCAUUCUGGUUGGAAAAGACCUUUCACAUCAUUGAGCACAACCAUUAACCUAACACCCCAUUUUACCAACCUAUUUAGCACCAGCACGACCACAUCAGCACUGGGACAAGAGCUGCAAACUCCCCCAACCAUGGCUCAGAGCCAACUGAGGAGGUAAAUCACCACCACAGUAAUAACCACUCAGCCUUCCUCUCUGGAGGAGAUAAAUCAGCUUGUCAAGAGGAGUUCAGGUUCCUCCCAUCCUGUCUAGCAUGACAGAAUGAUGUAGCAAGACACUAAAAAUCCCAACUGCAUCCAUGGUUCCAUGGCCUGAAUGGAGGAGCCCACACUCAGCAGGUACUGUCAAAUAUCAAUUUAUAUGACUUUGAACUGUGCUGAAACCCUCACAACAAGUUUUAAUGAGUGAAGAAGCCACCUAUCUCUUUUUGAAAGAAAAAAGGCCCAUUUUUUACCAUCUUCUCAUACAGCCAUGGUGCCUCUAGAACUGCAAGCAGAAGAAUUAGGAAAAGUGUGCAGCUUGUUCAUGUCUUCUCUGUGCUCUGAGCAAGGUGCUUAUGCAGGAAGCACUGCAAAGAUUCCUGGCAAUUCAGAUACCCAUCUGGAUGCCUCCCUGCUAUGUGUCUCCUGAUUGACAUGUUCCUGCCUGGGACCAGAGCACCAAAAAUGUGGAAAGCCUGCAGGAACCAGGAGGCAUGCAGCUACUUCCAGGUCAGCAGGAGACACUGUGCUGUGGUCUACCAGCUCUGUUUGGGACAUCUGAGGUUUGCAGUAGUGGCUGCAAGGCAUCCCAGCAGCUAUUCUAAGCAAAGAGCCCAAAUUUCACAUUUUCCUGGAAUUUUCCACCACAAAAUGGCAGAUAUCAAGGUGUGGGAAAUGCUAAGCAGCAUUGCUGACCAUGGAAAACAGCCCCUUGUCUAGGACCAGCAGGAAACAGGGAAGGUUUACAUCCUUCCAUCUGUAAACUUGUGGUCCUUUCACCAACUGAAGAAGCAAAACCCAGAAUGUGCAGGGGUAUCCUACAAAUCUGGGCUUCUUUGUGGACAGAAAUCCUGGAUCUCUGUAGCAAAAGUGUUACCAAUAUUACAAAACUGAGUAUUUGGCUGAUUAUAGUUGAGGCUGGUAUCAGCAUUAACUCCUUUCCAGCUACCAAACCAAAAAUCAGCCUGGGGACAGCCUGAAGCUUGGACCAAGAAGCCAACAGAUGAAUUAUCACCUUCAACAGUCUCAAGACUGAGUGUGGGAAUUUAACUAUUCCCUGUGGAUGUGUCUGUCAGCACUGCUCAGCUCUUGAGAAAUCCUUCAUAUCUCCAUCCAAAGACCAAAAGGAGAAGAGCAGCCAUAAAAGCUCAGCCAAGGCAUCACUGGGCACCAGCUGGGACAGAGCAGCUCCCAUGCACGACACCCACCACAAGGACAACUGAGGAGGGAACAGGGAGGUCCUAUCCACCUCUGAACUGCAUCCCCAAAAAUCUAAGCAGACAACAGAGAAGUCCAAAGUCUCCAGAGCAGCUUCCACCUGCAGCCACUUGGGGCCAGCAGCGGAUUCUGCAUCCCCGCACCAGCAAGGAUACAGUAACUCAUGAAAUGUAACGAGCUCUGGUGUUCUUCCCGUAAGCCAGGACACCCGAGAGGCUGAAGGAAUUAGCCUAAAAUAUAACAGGGAGGACUUGGAUGUUCAUUAAAAGCCAACGUGACCAGCAAGGAAAUCAAAGGUGUUAAUGGAAGGGCAAGAAGGCAGAAGAAAUGGGGCACAGCACUCCUCUCCCACCACCAACCUGACCCAGCUUCACCAGCCCAGCCCUUACACCACAUUAAAAUACUUCCUAUAAUCAUUUAAAAAGACUACCCAUAAUCUUAAAUGUCUGCUAAAUACUCCCACUCCCCUCCCAACUCUCUUCAAUGCAUGGAGGAAAAGCUUCAUCACAUGAAAGGCAAAUAAAGACUUUCCCCUGCUUCCAUAUCCCCUUCAUUGCACAGCUUUAUAGAACAGCAAUACAAUGACCCACAAUAAACUGACAGACCCUCUGUUUCCAGACUUUUCUUCCUCCCCACCAACUCAAUCCAGCUUCUCCUGUGGGAAAUCAAAUGCCAGCUUUUGAGAAGCAUCCAGCCUGAACCAAUUCAUAGGCACCUCCACAAGGAACAUCUUUAUUAAAAAAAUCCACUGGAGCUUCUGAAACACAGACAUGGGCUUCCUUUCACGUCUCCUGCUGCCACCACCAGCUGCAAGGUUCAUUGCUGGGAAAUGAAGCAGCUCUGAUGGUUAAGGAACCAUCUGGCAUGGGCAGGAGAACCUCGUCUGGGUCCUCAAACAUGGACCAGUGCUGCUGUGGACUCAGACCAUCCACUUUGCAACUGUAGACCCUUCCAACCUGGAGGGAAGCCAGGAGAUGUCAUUUACACCACAGGUUUAGGGUACAAAAGAGCAUCCUGCCUCCACAAGCACAGACCUGCAGCCCAUGCAUCAUGGGCUGAAGGCCCAGUUGCCCCCUUCCAGUUCAGGCUCGGUGCAGUGGGACGUGGAGCUGAGACACGGGGGUGUUCCAGAAAGAAAGUGUAAGCUGAAUUUUAACUUGCCCCCAGGACACAUCACUCCUUCAGAAAGGGCCAAGCUCAGGUACCAGACACUCCUCAGGGGAAGACUUCUCAUUCCAGCUGACUUGCCUCCCUCCUCAUAAAAAUUUGUCACAACUGACAGCACCACUAUGGGAAAUUUCCACCUAAAAACCUAACCAGAGAUGGCAGGUACCAAAAAAAACCUGCUUCAAAAACCAGGAGCAGUGUAUUGCCAUUGCUGCUACCAGAAUGACCAGCCCUGCAACUGCCUGGGGAGGGAUACCAGAGCACCAAACCCCUCAGUGAGAGUUCAGCAGCCCUGCACAACCACAAAUGGAUUUAAAAAUCUCAUGCCUUGAAAGGUGGGGUUGUUUCUUCUUCCCAGCCUGGCUGGCAAUUUUUGGUCUGUACACUGAACACUGGUUUGUUUUGUUCUGCUUGCUUUGUUUGCUAAGAAGAUUGUUACAAUAACCAUCCAGUGGCUGCACUCAACAUAGGUUCAAACUGUUCAUAGAACCAUUAAGGCUGGAAAACACCUCUUAAAGAUCAUCAAACCCAACACCACGCCAACUAAACCACAUCCACGUUUUUUCAACCCCCCCAGGGAGGGUGACUUCCUAGGCAGCCUGUUUCAGUGCUUGACCACUCUUUCAAUAAAGAAAUUGUUCACAAUAUCCAAUCUAAACCUCCCCUGGCACAACUUGAGGCCAUUUCCUCUUGUCCUAUCAGUUGUUACUCAAGGAAAGGAGAGACUCCCCCUGGCUCCAACCUCCUCUCAGGCAGUUGCUGAGCCAGAAGGUCUCCCCUCAGCCUCCUUGUCUCCAGGCUGAACAUCCCCAGCUCCCUCAGCUGCCCCUCAAACUUGUGCUCCAGCCCCUUCCCCAGCUCCAUUACCCUUCUCUGGACACACUCCAACCCCUCCAUGUCCUUCUUGUCCUGAGGGGCCCAGAACUGAUCACAGAGUUCAAUCUGGGGCCUCACCAGCAGCCCUGAGGUGACUGAAUGGGGGUGUCAGCUCUGUCUGGGCUUUGGGAUUUCAAUCUGUAUUCACUGGACUUCCCCUGCAACAGGAAUACCAAUGGCUGAGCUGCCCAGAUCCUGUGCUGCUUUUUCUGCAGUUAUGCCCAUACCCGAGUGCCCAGACUUAUCCCAGAGUCACUGCAUGGUCUUGCUAGUCCACAAACACCAGGAAAGAAUAAAAAAUGUGGUCACAUCAGAGUUUUAAAAGGGAUAUCAAACAAAUACCAUGAUGUGUAGCACUCCCACUGUGCAAGAAUCAGCAUCUUCAGCUUCCUAGGCUUUUAAUUCUUCAGAUUUUCCUAAACCUAUCUUCUCUAAAUCUGAUGUAGAUAUUUUAGAACUUGAACUUCAACCAGACAUCCUUGCAAUAUUAUUUCCAUCCUUCUUAGACACUUAUAUGAGCAAAAUACCAAGGUAUAUUUGAGCAGGGUCUUAAAUUUCUCAGAGGGCUUCACAUAAAAACCAGAUCAAACAAACUAUGUGUUCCCUAAAAACCCAAAGCAGGCAUCUGAAAAAAUUAACUCUGUGUGCCACUUCUCAUUUCCAAUUGACAGCCAAAAAAAAAAAGUAUAUAUAUCCCCAAGGUCUUUUGGAUGGAGAGGAAAGCAUUGAGAGAUGAGUUUUGAGCUUAUUUAUGCUGCCUAAACAAACGCCAUGAGCAGAAAUAUUGCCAGCACUAAUUCUGCCAGGUUUAGGGGUACCUGAAAAAGGUGAGCUGU